rnacentral:rRNA from 1 species
AGUUUACAACUCCCAAACCCAAUGUGAACCAUACCAAACUGUUGCCUCGGCGGGGUCACGCCCCGGGUGCGUCGCAGCCCCGGAACCAGGCGCCCGCCGGAGGGACCAACCAAACUCUUUCUGUAGUCCCCUCGCGGACGUUAUUUCUUACAGCUCUGAGCAAAAAUUCAAAAUGAAUCAAAACUUUCAACAACGGAUCUCUUGGUUCUGGCAUCGAUGAAGAACGCAGCGAAAUGCGAUAAGUAAUGUGAAUUGCAGAAUUCAGUGAAUCAUCGAAUCUUUGAACGCACAUUGCGCCCGCCAGUAUUCUGGCGGGCAUGCCUGUCCGAGCGUCAUUUCAACCCUCGAACCCCUCCGGGGGGUCGGCGUUGGGGAUCGGGAACCCCUAAGACGGGAUCCCGGCCCCGAAAUACAGUGGCGGUCUCGCCGCAGCCUCUCCUGCGCAGUAGUUUGCACAACUCGCACCGGGAGCGCGGCGCGUCCACGUCCGUAAAACACCCAACUUCUGAAAUGUUGACCUCGGAUCAGGUAGGAAUACCCGC